rnacentral:rRNA from 1 species
AAAGGGGACUGCCGGUGAUAAGCCGAGAGGAAGGUGGGGAUGACGUCAAGUCCUCAUGGCCCUUACGGGCUGGGCUACACACGUGCUACAAUGGUGGUGACAGUGGGCAGCGAGACAGCGAUGUCGAGCUAAUCUCCAAAAGCCAUCUCAGUUCGGAUUGCACUCUGCAACUCGAGUGCAUGAAGUUGGAAUCGCUAGUAAUCGCAGAUCAGCAUGCUGCGGUGAAUACGUUCCCGGGCCUUGUACACACCGCCCGUCACACCAUGGGAGUUGGUUUUACCCGAAGGUAGUGCGCUAACCGCAAGGAGGCAGCUAACCACGGUAGGGUCAGCGACUGGGGUGAAGUCGUAACAAGGU